UUUUUUUAGAUAGAGCUCUGAACACUUGCUGUGACUGUCACUUCAUGUUGAAUUUAUCAUAUAGAAUUUAAGGCGGAAGACUGGGGAGCAAUCUGUCACAAACGAUUGUAUUCGUAAUCGUUGAGGGUUGGGAUGGGGGCUGGGGAGAAGAUAAGCAUCCUAGGGCCGCUCUUGUCGCCUGCACCAUUCAUUCGGCUCCAGUGGCAUCGGUGAGGCGAUUUGUGUAGGCUGAGUGUGUAAUGUGUUUCCUUCAAGCCUGCCUUGAUGGUUCUGUCUAUGCUGUACUUCAUGCACAUAAAUGCCUCUCAGGUUUUUUCAGCUAAGUGAUAACUCAGCUUGUCUUUCCCGGUGAAUUCGGUAAUAAAUAGAUAUAUGGGCUAGACGUGGGGUGUUCUGACUUAGUUAGAUCCUCUCGUGUCCUGGAAUAGACAAGUGGACUCAAUCAUUGUGCUAGCAACAAGAUACAUACUUUCCAGGGAAGCACGGGGUUUUAUGCUAAGUUUACAAUGACAUGAACUGAAAAGCAAUUCAAAGUCAAGGUUAGUAUGACAACCUCACAUCCGUCUAGGGCAUCUAGAGGGGAAAACGGUCAAAAUGCAACAUUAUUUUCUUUGAAAACUGAACAUCUGUUAGGGGAUUUUGAAAUGAUAGAGAAGUAGAACAGUUGAGUUGCUUCUUGAACUCAUUUAAUGUGUACAUUUUACUCUGGGAAGUAAGUAUUUUCCCAAGACUGCUAUUCAGCGCUGCAUUUUUUUCCUCUGAUGUGCCAGGCGUUUCUUCACAACCUCUGGAUGUUGCAAGUCAAGUACUCUUAAUAGCUUGCAGAUCUAUAUCUGGGUAUCAAAAUCACAGGCUUUUGAACUUUGCCAAUCAGAAUCCCACAUUACAUUUCCUUUUUAUGUCACAUGCUCAAUGAGCUUAAUUGACACAUGGAAAAUUUCCUGUAUACAUCUUACUCAAGGCAACACUGGAAAUUUGGGUUUAUGGAAUGCGUCGGCAGCCCUGAACGCUCUUGGCUUCUUCGCUGCUGGCUUGGUCUGUGGCCCAGAAUGAUGCAAGUUAGGCGUAGCUCAGAACUCUCAAAUUAGCUGCUGGGGCGGUGUUAGGAGUGUGUUCAGGCUCAAGAGCCAUUUUUGAGGGCUGGAAGAGGGAGUGGGGAGGCUCUGGCCCACUCCCCACUGUGAGGCAGCGGAGGUUACCGUUGUUUGUGACUCAGCACCCAGCACUGUGUCUGACCUGCAGAGAUAGUAAAGGCAGCCUAGGUGCUGGGUAGGCUCUAAGACUAAGCAGGACUGGACAUGGGGAUGCCAAUGAUAAUAACAGCUCCUAAUUAUGGAACAGGUACUCAGUGAUCAUAAAUGCUAGCCUAGGUGAUUCCCUACCUAUUCCUUAUGCUCUGAACAUACACACCUCUGAUUUAUCUGAAGAAAGAUAAUACUUCCAUGAUCAAAAUACAAUGGAAUAGCACUUACAGAGCUAGUGAAGCCUAGAAAGAGUCCAGGCCUUGCUGCAGUUUUCUUCCAGUGGCACUCAGAGGGGUUUGUGUUUUCAGUUUCUGUAUUAUUUUUUGGCCUAUGCAGUAUUUCGUUCUUAGCAUUUUGCAAUAAAUUGGUGGUCUCUCAAUAUUUCUAUGUAUCUGAUUUACGGUUCUAGCUGUCCCUGUCUCUUCUCUCUUCUGCUUACUGACAUACUCUCUAAUCAGAAAGACAGUGAAAACACGGGAGGAUGCCAGGAAAGAAUCCAGGGGAGGAAGGAGGAGCCACACAGCCAGCAGCAGCCCAAGGAGAGCAGCCCCUCGGGAGGCUGCAACGGCUGAACUUUUCCCCUGACAUUUUACUGGAUGUGCAGGGAGCACCAGCUUGCACCACCGUGGGGUGACAGGAAGAGAGAGACAACAGUGAGAAAUGGAGAAUGGAGGAACCAAGGAAGAAAACCGAGGCAGGGGCAAAGAGGCAGGGCUAAUAACCAUGUGGGCUAAGAUCUCACUCCUUUGGACUCAUAAUCAUCACAGUGACCUUCCUUAGUGGCCUCACUCACUACAGAAGUCAGGAGAGGAAACACCUGCUUAAGAAGGGUAUUUGAAAAGUCAGAGCCACACCCAGACCAGAAGAUUCGGGCAGACUGAUGGACAUCAUUAUGAUGAAUGUGGAGUGAGGAAAGGAAGAACAACCACAAAACCAGUGUUCUUUUUAGAACUUGCUAGAAUCACAAUAGAAAUAUUGAAGCACUAUUAGACCGGUAUUUUCUAAACAUAUCUGA
rnacentral:lncRNA from 10 species